rnacentral:rRNA from 1 species
CUGACCUACGGGAGGCAGCAGUGGGGAAUAUUGGGCAAUGGGCGCAAGCCUGACCCAGCAAUGCCGCGUGAAGGAAGAAGGCCCUCGGGUUGUAAACUUCUUUUAUCAGGGACGAAGGAUGUGACGGUACCUGAUGAAUAAGCUCCGGCUAACUACGUGCCAGCAGCCGCGGUAAUACGUAGGUGGCAAGCGUUAUCCGGAUUUACUGGGUGUAAAGGGCGUGUAGGCGGGGACGCAAGUCAGAUGUGAAAACCACGGGCUCAACCUGUGGCCUGCAUUUGAAACUGUGUUUCUUGAGUACUGGG